rnacentral:rRNA from 1 species
CAGCAGCCGCGGUAAAACGUAGGGUGCAAGCGUUAAUCGGAAUUACUGGGCGUAAAGCGUGCGCAGGCGGUUUUGUAAGUCUGUCGUGAAAUCCCCGGGCUCAACCUGGGAAUGGCGAUGGAGACUGCAAGGCUAGAAUCUGGCAGAGGGGGGUAGAAUUCCACGUGUAGCAGUGAAAUGCGUAGAUAUGUGGAGGAACACCGAUGGCGAAGGCAGCCCCCUGGGCUAAGAUUGACGCUCAUGCACGAAAGCGUGGGGAGCAAACAGGAUUAGAGACCCCUGUAGUCCCUGUCUCUUAUAC